GAGGAUUGUCAGAACCGUGGGGAGGCGAAGCGAGGUUUUUAACAAGAAAUAUCUUCCUGACUUCAAGAUUUCAGGAAAGAGUAUAUUGCAACUUUUGAGUUAAGCCUGUAGGCAAGUGGAUUGACAGACCCAUUAAACCACAGAAGGUGACCUGUUGAGAAAAGUGAUACAAAUACUGAAAAAAAACCUGCUCUUCUGCGUUAAGGGUGGACAAUGUCACAAGUUACAACAACUUAUUCUUUUGAUGCUCCUACGGACUUCAUUAAUUUUACAUCUUU
rnacentral:lncRNA from 1 species